GACAGAGGGUGCAAACGUUGUUCGGAAUUACUGGGCGUAAAGCGCGUGUAGGCGGCCCUGCAAGUCGGGUGUGAAAUCCCAUGGCUCAACCAUGGAAGUGCACUCGAAACUGCAGGGCUAGAGUCCUGGAGAGGAAGGUGGAAUGCUUGGUGUAGAGGUGAAAUUCGUAGAUAUCAAGCGGAACACCGGUGGCGAAGGCGGCCUUCUGGACAGUGACUGACGCUGAGGUGCGAAAGCGUGGGGAGCAAACAGGGAUUAAGAAACCCCGUGAGCC
rnacentral:rRNA from 1 species